rnacentral:rRNA from 1 species
GAUUCCCUACGGGGGGCAGCAGUGAGGAAUAUUGGUCAAUGGGCGCGAGCCUGAACCAGCCAAGUCGCGUGAGGGAAGACGGUCCUAUGGAUUGUAAACCUCUUUUGUCGGGGAGCAAAGGACGCCACGUGUGGCGUUCCGAGAGUACCCGAAGAAAAAGCAUCGGCUAACUCCGUGCCAGCAGCCGCGGUAAUACGGAGGAUGCGAGCGUUAUCCGGAUUUAUUGGGUUUAAAGGGUGCGCAGGCGGAAGAUCAAGUCGGCGGUAAAAUUGAGAGGCUCAACCUCUUCGAGCCGUUGAAACUGG